AUUCUCCUCCCUCCUGCUUUCAGUGUCCUCCAUCUCUCCGCUUUCUCUCAUUUUCUUAUAUUAAGGACAUUCUCAGAUCCAGAGACUGCUGCAGUUCCUCAUCCAUCUGUUUCUUGUAAUCUCUACCGAGCUGCUGGAGAGUGAAGCAGCACAGAGCUGCCCUUAUAAAGACUCCUCCUGACCAGACCACACCUCUCUGUCCCUGAGUCCAUGGAAGCCAAGGCCAAGUCCGGGGCUCCAGCACCCAAGGCAGCAACUAAAGCAGAGAAGAAGGAGCCGCCUGCCCCACGCAAGGCCGACCCUGCCCCUGCAGCACCUGAGCCCGAGCAUCCUCCUCCCCAGGAUGGGGCAGCAGAGGCUGAAGGAGCAGCUGACGAGGCUGCGGCCUCUGGCACAGACUCUCUCGAGCACCUGAAGCCCUUUCUCAUCGGUGGUGCUGUUAUUGCUGCAGGAGCCAUCUUGCUGGGAGUGUUGCUACUGGCGAGGAGAAAUUAAGAAAACCAAAUCAUUAUCUCAAAUUAAAGUAUGUAUCGGUUGAUGAGUUAGAGCGUUGUUGCUGAGUGGUUCAUAGACUAUACGGUACAAACGGGGGAUGGGGAGCCACUGUGCAUCUUAUGUUUUGAGUUUUCUUUUGGCCUGCUUUCACAUGUAGAAAAUCAAACCAUUCAAGUUUUGAUAACGGCUGUAUAUGGAGUGUAAUUACACAUAAUAUAUGCAUGAAGUUGCUUCAAUACUGCAUCUGAACUGUAAUAAUCAGUUCCUUCAAAAAAAAAAAAAAAAAAAAAAAGACACACUGUACUGAGCUAAAAAGUUUGAACUCUCUAAAGCUUAUUCAACUGCUUUAUCUUGUUUAAUCCAGUUUGCACAAAUAUUGACAUGUACUUGCAAUAUUUGUACAUUCUUGCACCGGAAAUCAGCUUGGUUCACUUUGCUAAAAAGAUCAUGAAAAACUCUAUUCAUAAUGUUGAAACUUAUAACUCUGGCUAUCAGAGUUGUUCCAGGUUUUAUUUUACUUUUAAAUAGGACAAUUGAAAGAGUAUGCCUGAAAACAGAUGGAAAUAUACAUUGUGAUGUAUUGCACAUGCUGUGGCUAAAUCAAUGCCUGAGUAGAGGGAUCAGUUCAGAGACAAUGAAUCCCUGCAUACCCCCCAAAAAAAGCCAAAUAGAGAAGGGCACAGUGCAAUUUCACAAAAGCAACUUUUUCUGUGACAGAAAAUAUAAGCAUGCAGUGGUUUAGGAAUGGGAUGUAGGAGACUGUAGGAGAUAAAACAUGUACAGUGUGUGUCAGAGAAUUGUAGUGAAGUUACCUCUUGCUGUAGAAUAAGAACGAGUUUAUGUUACUGUCAAAUGAUGUCACAAAUCAAUAACCUUUCAUGUCUCACACAACAUCCACUGUCGUGCUGGUUCAACCUGUUUACAUCUUAUGGUAGAUAAUUAGCUGUAGCAGGCUGGAUGGCCAUUAGUGUUGCAUUAUCAGGUUUAAAGCCUGCGUCCAAAACAUUAUGUCUUCACUGUGCUCCCCUUAUGUGGCUUUAGGAAAAAAUUUAAGCCGCCUAUAGGUUGCUACUGCACUGAAAGCUGGGUGUAGAUGAACUUCUGUUGCAUAGGUUACUCAACAGGGGGAAAAAAGUCAAGCAUUCACAGUUUUAUUGCAACAAACACUCACCUGUACAGCUGUACACACUUGUGUCCACUCAUCUGUAAAGCUUGUGGGGACGUUCCUGUUGCAUAAGUAGAUAGCAGAAAGACAGUUCUGAUACACACCAUUGUUUGAAUUCAGUUGUAAGGGUACGUACUAAUUUCAUGACACAUUACCGGCCAAAAAUAUUGUAAGAACAUGCCUCAUUCACCACAAGUCCACACCCCAAACACAUCCAAAAGAUGGUAUGCCAACACCAAAACAAACUUCACCUUACAUUGUACAAUACAGUGUACCAAAAAAAGAGAAAUCCUAUUUUCAUAAUUUCAACAGCGUAUAAAUGCAAUAAUUCAGAUAGGACUCCUCAUUUAGCACAUGUGCUGUAGCAAGUUAAAUUACAUAAAUGAUGGUGUGAUAAUAGUGUUGAUGAUGAUGAUGUCAGCGAUGGCACUGAUGGUGAUGUUACAGGUGAUGAUGAUGAUGGGAAUGAUGAUGUUUUUCAUGGUGACUGUACGGAUGAUAACGAUGGUUAUGAUAUAUUUUUGAUAUAUUUCUAACAUAUAUUCCUUAUGCACACUCCCCUCUGCUCCCAAACACCUAAAUGUAAAAAAGAAAGAGGUCGUUAUCCAACCUUUAUUAAAGACAGUGAACCAGCCCAA